rnacentral:rRNA from 1 species
GUGAGGAAUAUUGCGCAAUGGAGGCAACUCUGACGCAGCCAUGCCGCGUGCAGGAAGAAGGCGCUACGCGUUGUAAACUGCUUUUAACCGGGAAGAAACCCCAGGACGUGUCCUGGGUUGACGGUACCGGAGGAAUAAGCACCGGCUAACUUCGUGCCAGCAGCCGCGGUAAUACGAAGGGUGCAAGCGUUAUCCGGAUUCGUUGGGUUUAAAGGGUGCGUAGGCGGAGCGUUAAGUCAGUGGUGAAAUCCUGCAGCUUAACUGUAGACUUGCCAUUGAUACUGGCGCUCUUGAGUGCGCUUGAAGUGGGCGGAAUGUGCCGUGUAGCGGUGAAAUGCUGAGAUAUGGCACAGAACACCAAUUGCGAAGGCAGCUCACUAAGGCGAUACUGACGCUGAGGCACGAAAGCGUGGGGAUCGAACAGGAUUAGAUACCCGGGUAGUCC